AUUGAACGCUGGCGGCAUGCCUUACACAUGCAAGUCGAACGGCAGCACGGGUGCUUGCACCUGGUGGCGAGUGGCGAACGGGUGAGUAAUACAUCGGAACGUACCUUAUCGUGGGGGAUAACGCAGCGAAAGCUGUGCUAAUACCGCAUACGCCCUGAGGGGGAAAGCGGGGGAUCGAAAGACCUCGCGCGAUUAGAGCGGCCGAUGCCUGAUUAGCUUGUUGGUGGGGUAAAAGCCCACCAAGGCGACGAUCAGUAGCUGGGCUGAGAGGACGAUCAGCCACACUGGGACUGAGACACGGCCCAGACUCCUACGGGAGGCAGCAGUGGGGAAUUUUGGACGAUGGGGGCAACCCUGAUCCAGCAAUGCCGCGUGAGUGAAGAAGGCCUUCGGGUUGUAAAGCUCUUUUGUCAGGGAAGAAACACCGGCUCUAACACAGUCCGGGAAUGACGGUACCUGAAGAAUAAGCACCGGCUAACUACGUGCCAGCCGCCGCGGUAA
rnacentral:rRNA from 1 species